rnacentral:rRNA from 1 species
CAGCCGCCGCGGUAAUACGAGGGGUGCAAGCGUUAUUCGGAUUGAUUGGGCGUAAAGGGCUCGCAGGCGGUUUCUUAAGUCUGAUGUGAAAGCCCCCGGCUCAACCGGGGAGGGUCAUUGGAAACUGGGAAACUUGAGUGCAGAAGAGGAGAGUGGAAUUCCACGUGUAGCGGUGAAAUGCGUAGAGAUGUGGAGGAACACCAGUGGCGAAGGCGACUCUUUGGUCUGUAACUGACGCUGAGGAGCGAAAGCGUGGGGAGCGAACAGGAUUAGAGACCCCCGUAGUCCCUGUCUCUUAUAA